GCCCUCGUGGCGCACCGGAGAGCGCGCCUGUUUCCGAAACAGGAGGUCGCUGGUUCGAUUCCAGCCGGGGGCA
rnacentral:tRNA from 1 species